AUGGGGGGUACUUCUUUUUUUUUUCCCUUCCGGAAAGAAUGAAAUGCAUAGGGGACCAUCCUUUUGUUGCGGCAUGCUCUUCAGAUUUACGGAUUCGCAGGGGGCCUCAGGCCCUACUUAGUUGACUGACAAUGACAAAGGCUUGCGAAACUAAGUAGGGCCUUUUGAAUUGAAUCUUAAGUAGUCUAUCAGUGGUGCGAAGCGGCUUUGCCCCUUUUCAGUAGGGGAGCGAAAGGUUAGACCUUAGAAAGUCAGCGAACAGCGGUUCUUCUAUGUAGGUAUAGGUAUGGCGUUCCCUCUUGACUCUCCUAACGUCGAGCUAAGUGACUUCGUAACCUUUGCGUAGCGUAGUAGAAUGAAGGCUACGCACCGACGCUCUCUUAUCUAUUAGCCUAAGCGUCUUCGCUAACUCGCUCGCCUAUUAUACUACACCCUACUAUACAAUACAUUAGUAGGGUAGGCUAGGCUAACGCUUACUUCUACUAAUGUAUUGUAUAGUAGCGCCUUUUCCUUUUUGAAUAACCCCAUUAUCUUUCAUAAGUCAAGUAGGCGCUCCCUAACCGGUCGCCUUAGUAGCGUUGACAAAGAAGAACAGCCGGUUAAAAGACAGCGAAUCUUUUUAUUUAUAUCCUUAUAUAUUCAAAAUAAUAAUAAAUAUAUAUAUAUAGAAGAAGGCCAGCUUGACAAGCUACCCUUCUUCUUGAUCUGAGGUGCGAAGAUAAACAUCUCUUUUUUAUGACUUCCACUUAUCGAUCCCGGCCCGGAAAAGUGACCGACCAGGGCCCUAUUGAUGAAUGAAAGAAAGGGUUUAUAAGCCCUAGCCCUUGUAAGCCCACACCUGUGUAGAGUAGAUCGUUCAACACCUGCGGCACAAACCCAUUUUUGACCUAUUGGUCCUAGUAUCAUAGGCGACCGAACGGCCGCCCCCUAAUUACUAGACCAACCUGCUAUAAUAAUUCCAUAAACACCUAGCGAAGAUAUGGCAAACAAAUAAAGUAGCCCUAUGUUCAAAUCUGACAAUACCAUACCAUAAUCAAAAGGUACAACGGCCCAAGCGACCAGACUUAACAUAAAUGUAGCCACUGGAGCCAUUCUAAAAAGGAAGAAAUUAGCACUACUUGGUGAAAUAGGUUCUUUUAGAAUCAAUUUCAAACCAUCUGCUAGAGGUUGUAACAAUCCGAACAAUCCCACUACAUCAGGACCCUUUCGACGUUGCACAAAAGCCAUUACUUUACGUUCAGCUAGCACUAAAAAGGCUACUCCUAGUAGAAGUGGUAGAAUUAUUCCAAGUAUUUCAGCUGGAACAGCUAUGUACGUUUUCGAUUUUCUAUUCACUCAUGAUCUGGCCUGGUCGAGUCGACCCAAUCAUGAUAUUGAAGGAUGGGACCUUUUCUCGAAAAACCCUGGAUCCCGGGAAGAGUUGAAGAUGGUGCAACAUCGAAUCCUGUUACGUUACUUCGAAUGGAAUCUUAGCCCGCCUCAAAAGCUUUCUUUACUGCAUAAGGGCAUAAGCGAAGUCAAGAGAUUUCCUUCUAACUAGUGGCUGAGAAUAUACCUUCAUUCAACAGAUUUUUGAUUGCAUGCUCUGGGUCUGGAAUCUUUGCUCUUCUCUUUUGCAUUUCCGCUGCCUGCGUUCUUUCUUCGUGUCCGUUCGUAUCGCAAAGCGGGUCGACGCCAGCUAUAAUGGUUGAAAAGAGGGGGGCCAACCAAGACCCCCUAGCUUUGUUCGAUAAAGCAAACGAUUCGUUCCGACAACUUCGGACCAGAUUAACCCUUUGAAUUAGCCGAUCUUACAAAAUCGAUUGGGCGGGCUGGUUGGGAAGGGGCGGAGAAAAGAAUCGCUGAGAGAUAGAUUCUACUAUUUAGUCAGGACAAAUGAGUGGCUGUGCAGCAUGCUCCGGAGGAGAUUGACCUUUCCCCGAGUCAGUCCAGUCAGAAAGGGGAAGGCCCGCUGUCUAGACUGCAUUUCGGGAGUUUGAACACCAUCCCAUUUCAACCAAAAAUACAACCCUGUCAAAGGCUACGCACCUUCCUUCCUUAUGAGUGGAAAUCCAAUCCCGUUUUGUCUUUUUUGCAUAAAAACCAGCCAGCCGGUAAUAUAUAUUUAUAUUUAUAUAUAUAUUUGAAACCCGUUCUUCUAUAAAAUAAUUGCUUUACUAAGAUAGUAAAUUAUUAAUGAGAAGAAACAAGUAAAAGGCCCUAACCCAGAAUUCAAGUAUAGUACCUGCUCAUAGGUAGUGAACCACAGACAAGAAUCAAACACGAAGACAACAUGAUUUGGCCUACCAGCUAGGGGUGGCCACCAGGCCAGAACUGGUGGUUCAGGUUCAAGGUUCUGAGGGACUGAAACUAGACUUGUCCCCCUCAGUUCUUGUUCAAUUCCAGUUUUCUUCAAAUCCAAUGAAUAAAUUUUUUUAUUUUUUUUAAAAAAAAUCCUAUUUUGGCUUGGAACUGGACCAGACUGACCAAUUCAAGAUUGGUUUUGGUCAAUCCAGUUUUGACUGAUCCAGUUCCCAUCCUAAACUGGCCCAUGGCUGGGUCUACUAUAAGCAACAUACAAAAUCAUCAAUAUAGGAAUAAAAUUCAAGGAUGGCAGCAUCAGAAACCAGCUAUCCUGGUCCAUUGCUCCCACAUAAUAAAAUACAAGAGAGUGAAAUCCUAGAAAAUAUGGUGGAUCAAGAAACAAAGCAACAACAAAAGCAAGGUAUAAACCACAAGCUCAAUGAGCUUAGAAGCAUUCCCAAUGCAAGAGCCUGACUAACAAAAAUUUACAGAACACAACAUAAAAAAUAAUAGUAGUAUAGAAAUAUUUAAUAUCAACUAUGGUACGGAAAAAAGCAUGAGAUAAUUACAUCCAACUGAGUACAGUGGGAAACUUACAAAAUCUCCGGACAUUCGCUGAAAUAUACACUUGAAUCCUUACUAGGAUCUCCCUUUUCUAUUAUAUUUUUUUAUUUUUUUUUUAAAAAGUAAACUUUGCUUUGUAAAUCUCCACAGUUGAUAAAAUACUAAGGCUCCUAUCCUAUGGUCAAAAAAGCAAAGUGUAAAUAAAGAACAUGAAAAACAAAGUUACUACAGAACCCACAUUAACCCUUUAAUUACAAUUUAAUCCCUCACUUUUAAAUGAAAAGACCAUUUGAUCCUCGAGCUUCAUAUAUUAUACACUUAGUUUGGACUUGAGUGUAUAAUAUAUGAAAACUCAAGGAUUAAAAGAUUAUUUUAUGUCAAAAUUCAGGGACUAAAAAUCAUUCUAUUUAAAAAUGUAGACUCUGAAGCCCAUGAAAUUUUAAAAUGGAAAUUUAAGAUCAAGGAAUUUAAAAAGUUAAGAUCAUCUAUUUUAUUUGGACAAAAGCAAAGAUCCAAGUAUACAUUUUGCAAAAUUUCAUGAGGUUUUUACUGUUACAAAUUCAUAAAAUGCUUCUGCAAUUUCAGAAAUGGUUGAAGAAUCCAUGUAUGGGGUGAAGACUGGUUGAUGGUGAGACUGCACACAUAACAAAUAUCUAUUUCAAUUAAGUUCUUUUGGUAUUCUUCAAAUGUCUCUAACUUGAAGAAAAAAAAAAUGCGAGUUCAAGCAUUUCUCUCCCCUGUACUAAAAUUUAGUUUGAAUUUAAAAUUCUUAUUUUUCUUGAAAUUAUAAUACAUAUUGUAUUUUUUACCCUUUUUAAAAAGUACAAGAAUGGCACUUAAUGCAAGCAUAGUUUGAAUUGUGUCCCUGGCAACCCAUCUUUAAAGCAACAACAAAGAAAAAGCAAUAGAAAAGAGCUGUUAUGCAUCUACAGACUAAAUGUAAUCACUAGAAAAGCAAAAAUGCAUGCAUUUCCUGAGAAGCAUAAAAAUGCUUUGUAUUUAAUUCCAAUGCCUUUGGAAAAUUGUAUUUCAAUAAGCAAAAUGCUAACCAGAACAGCAUAACCGACUAAAAUACAAACAUGCAAAGAAAGACUUCUCAACUUCACCACCCCAAAAUAUAAAGCAAUCUUCAAGAACUGGGAGUUUGCAGUAACAGUAAAUUUAAUGCAGACAUCUGAACCAAGCUUAAAACUGCAGAGAGAAUGCCUUCAAAGUUCAAACAAUUGUGUGAGAAGUUAAUUAUUAAUAUUGAAGAAAAAAAUCAGUUCUGCUUACUAGAGUGAAACAAAUCAUUGCAUUACUUGAAGCCUGUUAAUUAACCAAUAAUGCUAUAAACUCAAAAAAGGUCACUGAACUACUAGCAUGUUCCCUACUAGAACUAAGCAACCGAGAAACAGUUUCUACAGUUCAAGCACCUCAAAAUGCAAGAAGAAAUUACUUGCCAGAUUUAAGGAAAACCUAAUUUGCUAACUAGGCAGAAAGAUGGAAAACUGAUUUAUCAUCCGAACUUGUUCUACAUAUCUCAAAAGCACAAACCACAGAACAGAUUCAUUAAACUUGAUAAAGCUAAAACAGUAUCUACCAUGAUUAUUUUUAAGGAAGUACCCAUGUCAGAUGGGAACUCCACAGCAUGUCAGGAUAAUUAGAUCAAUAUCAGUAACCAAUUUAACUGCAUAAACGGAUAAUAGCAUGAACAUAUUCUUUUAAAAUGGAUGGAAAAAACAGCAAUGCACUAUAGUAUUACACAUAAAACCCAAUAUUCAAGUGCAUCAAUCAUUAACAAAAAUACAUUCUUUUCCAAAAUCACAUAUUAUAACUAAGUUACCGAGAAAGAAAAAUUAUGCAGGUCAUUUGAUUCACAAAAUAUUCCCAAUCAAUCACAGAAUCAAAACAAUUAACGAGGCAAAGAUUGAACAAAAAUAAAUACCAUAAACAAACAAGGGAUUCAAAAUGCCCGUUCUAAAUAUAAAAAUAAGGAGAAAUCAUUAAAAAAUAUGAUCUAGAUUUAGAGAAUUCUGAAACGAGAGAGAGAGAGAGGCAGUAGGUUCACCAGAGAGAUUGAGAGGGAAAUUUCGACAGAAAUCUUGGUGGUAAGCAAACGCCGAUCUACGGAGGAGGAAGGUGAAGAUUUGGAUUUAUAUUUGCU
rnacentral:misc_RNA from 1 species